ACACAUGCAAGUCGAGGGGCAGCAUCAUCAAAGCUUGCUUUGAUGGAUGGCGACCGGCGCACGGGUGAGUAACACGUAUCCAACCUGCCGACAACACUGGGAUAGCCUUUCGAAAGAAAGAUUAAUACCGGAUGGCAUAAUUAUUCCGCAUGGGAUAAUUAUUAAAGAAUUUCGGUUGUCGAUGGGGAUGCGUUCCAUUAGGCAGUUGGCGGGGUAACGGCCCACCAAACCUACGAUGGAUAGGGGUUCUGAGAGGAAGGUCCCCCACAUUGGAACUGAGACACGGUCCAAACUCCUACGGGAGGCAGCAGUGAGGAAUAUUGGUCAAUGGACGAGAGUCUGAACCAGCCAAGUAGCGUGAAGGAUGACUGCCCUAUGGGUUGUAAACUUCUUUUAUACGGGGAUAAAGUUAGCCACGUGUGGCUUUUUGUAUGUACCGUAUGAAUAAGGAUCGGCUAACUCCGUGCCAGCAGCCGCGGUAAUACGGAGGAUCCGAGCGUUAUCCGGAUUUAUUGGGUUUAAAGGGAGCGUAGGCGGGUUGUUAAGUCAGUUGUGAAAGUUUGCGGCUCAACCGUAAAAUUGCAGUUGAUACUGGCGACCUUGAGUGCAACAGAGGUAGGCGGAAUUCGUGGUGUAGCGGUGAAAUGCUUAGAUAUCACGAAGAACUCCGAUUGCGAAGGCAGCUUACUGGAUUGUAACUGACGCUGAUGCUCGAAAGUGUGGGUAUCAAACAGGAUUAGAUACCCUGGUAGUCCACACAGUAAACGAUGAAUACUCGCUGUUGGCGAUAUACGGUCAGCGGCCAAGCGAAAGCAUUAAGUAUUCCACCUGGGGAGUACGCCGGCAACGGUGAAACUCAAAGGAAUUGACGGGGGCCCGCACAAGCGGA
rnacentral:rRNA from 1 species